UACGGGGGGAGCAAGCGUUGUUCGGAUUUACUGGGCGUAAAGGGCGCGUAGGCGGUCACGACAAGUCAGUUGUGAAAUCUCCGGGCUUAACUCGGAACGGUCAACUGAUACUGUCGGACUAGGGUGCAGAAGGGGCAACUGGAAUUCUCGGUGUAGCGGCGAAAUGCGUAGAUAUCGAGAGGAACACCUGCGGCGAAGGCGGGUUGCUGGGCUGACACUGACGCUGAGGCGCGAAAGCUAGGGGAGCGAACGGG
rnacentral:rRNA from 1 species